rnacentral:lncRNA from 1 species
UGGUACAAUCAAUCUAAGUACAGGACGACAAUGGCAAGCACAAUGGAUAAUCAGUUUGAUAUCGGCCUCUCACCUUGUUAACCUUAUUAAUCAGGAGAGAGAUGCGUUGAACUCAUGAUGAUGGACAUUAAAGUGAAAGCCUCAGGUCUAACUCUUCUUUGGCCUCUUCUUGCGUCGGAAGAACUUCACUUUUCUGGGGAGUAAUCGCGACGGUGGCCCAAGAUUUUCUGGCAUGAAACUCUUCCAAGAAGUCUUCAGGUUGAAAACAAGGCUUCCAAACAGCAAACUGCCUUUUAUUCUCUUCCUCCAGUUUUCUUUUCUUGUUUUUACAAUCCAUCUCCUGCUUCGAAGUAUCUGAGCCAUUUGGAAAGCGAUCACGUGCCUCGCGAAUGCUUUUGACGAGUGCAAAGAACUUCUCUAUCUUUAUUUCUUCGUUAUCUUCAUCGUCGUGAGCAUCACCCUGAGGGAGGUUCCUCUUCUUGGUUGGAGUCUCCAUGAAGAGUGUGGGGUUGGUUGCAGGACGCAGGGAGUUACUUGGAAAGAAUACUACAAUAUGGCAUGAACUUUCUAGGUUGCUUCCUCUUCUGCUUGUCGGAGACUUGUGAUUUUUUUAUAUAUUGUCAUGGUCAAGAUGUUACAUACGCACUUCUCGUAUUAACUUGAAAUUACUAAAUAGUUACUAAUUUUCAAUAUAUUCGAUAUUUAAAAAAUAAUAUUUUAUUUUUAAAGUAGGUUGUUCAAAUUUUUAAUUAAGUUGAGUUUGACAUUAUGAUAAUUUUUAUUUUUAAUUCUUUAAAUUAUUUUUUUAGCAUUACUCCAAAACAUAUAAAGUUUUUUUUUUUAAAAUGGGAAUUAGUUGAAUUAAAACCAAUUACAGGCGGUAGUGGCAUAUUAGUAAAUUCGCAAGCCAUGUGAGUAACAUGCCUCCGAAUCGCUAGUUGCGUAAUCUGAUGACAUAUUACAUGAGCUCAUACAGCUUCUUGUUUGGCCAAGAUGCACAAACAGUGGCACCCCUUUUUUAUGAGUAAUAUUUUAUUUCUAAUAUUUAUAAAAACAUCUCCUGAAAAACCAUUUUAAAAAAGGAAAGUAUUUAAUCUUAAAUUUUUAUAAAAUUUAACCAUUUAUAAAAAAAUCGUUGCAUUUUAUAAAGUAUAAUUUUUAAUUCUUUAAAAUUCACAACACAUAAUUUAUUUCUACAUAUAAAUAAUAGAAAUAUUAUUAAAAAUCUAAAAUUAUGAUUUUAAAUUCAAAUUUCAUACUUUAGUAUUUUAAUGUUUAUAAAAUUAAAUAGAAAAUGAGCAUUUUCUGAGUAUCUGACUAUAAAUCUUUAAAUUUAAAUUUACAACAUUUAUAUUUAAGAGGAAAUGUAACAUUUAUUUUUACACAUAAGUAAAACAUACAUGUAUUUAAUAAUUUAAAUUCAAUAUAAUUAUAAUAAAAUAAUAAUAAAUAAUUUUAUUAUAAUUAAAUUUAAUAAAAUAUUAUUUUUUUAAGCAAAACUACCGAUUAUAUUAAUAAAAUUCUAUCAAAUAAAUAGGGAUAUCAUUCCGAACAGAGAGACGAUUAUACCUAAUAAAUUUUAUAGUCAAAGUAUGAGUAGUUAGAGUAGCAUUACAACGAAUUCAAUCUAACAGAAAUAUCAGUUAUAAAGUCUAACAAAGAUUUAUAAUCAUUUAAAAUCAAACCCUCAUAUGAGAUAAUUUGACAAAAAUGAUGUUCCUUCAUUCUCAUCUUUCGAGCAUCAAGCAUUAAAGUCUUCCGAACAAAACCACGAAAGAGAGUUUCUACGAGAUAAAACUCGAAUAAAGUUUCAAGACUAAUAUCAUCGUUGUGAUUUCAAAAACUCAUAAUAACCAGUAAACCUCCAUUGAAUAUUACCUUUCAAAACAGCCGAAUUAAUAAAAUUUGAAGAAAAGUCAACCCCAUAAAUAGACACAUAACUCUUUCACAUUAACGAAAUGACUCAUCUCAAUCAUUGUCUAUUGACUGAGAAGCAACCAUCAAAAUGUAAAAAAUUAUGAAAAAAUUUCAUACAAAAACUAAGAGUUUUUGUUUCCAUAAAAAAUAAAAUAUCCGACUUGUAACUAGUAACCAAAUCCUUCAAUGCAUUAACUGUUCGAGGAUUGCUGAGUUCUUGGUAGUUCCAACACAGGACGAUCAUUACUUUCGACUAUCCCGACCUUUGACGGGAUGAGCCGUUUUACUAUUGUCUGUCAAAUUAACAUUCACAGAAAUAUUGUUAAAGGCAUUUUGUUUAGAGAAAGAAAAAUCUAUAAUAACGUUAUAUUUAGUAUUUCUUAGCCUUUUUUUAGCAUCAUUAUUUAUUCGGGCUGCACUCUCCUCGUCAAACUUCUCAAAACUGCCUUAGCCCACAUAAUUUUUGUCCAUUUCCAUAAUAUGGUCCUCACUCAUCAGUCUCCUUAUUUACAAUGAAUUGACUUUUGCCAAAUAAGUAGAAUUGCCUAUUAUGUGCUGCUAAAUUAGUGUUUUAAAAAUUGCUAGUUGAUGCCAAUCCUAUCACAAAUCCCGAUAGAGCAUAAUUGCCGGAAUCACACAGCCACAGGCUUAUCGGUCUCUGAUUUCGACGAACAGGUACUCUAAGAAAAUCACCCAAACAUUAAACUACUUUUAUUUGUAAAAAAAUAAUUUUUAUUUAAAAUUUUUUUUAUAAAAAAUAUUUUUGAAACGCGAUAAUUUAUUUUUUAUUAGUAUUUAAUUUAAAUUUAAAAUAUAAAAUAUAUUAAUAAAUUUAUAUAAAGAAGUGGUAAUAAAAUUUUCAAAAGAUUAAAAAGAAAUUUAUUUUUUAAAAAGAAAAAAUUAUUUUCUUUGAAAUGAUUUAAUUUUUUUUAAUUAAUAAAAAAAAUUUAUUUAUUAAAUUUUUUAAAUCUGACAUAAAAUAUAGAAAAUAUAUAUUUUUAAAAUAUAUGUUUCGUCAAACAAAUAAGAGCCUUAAUUUUAGUUUUCUGCUUACAAACUCAUGAAAUUAAAUUUCUAGAGUAAUGCAUGUAUACUCACUACUGGUACAAUCAAUAUUCCUUGACAAAUCUAAGUACAGGACGACAAUGGCAAGCACAAUGGAUAAUCAGUUUGAUAUCGGCCUCUCACCUUUUUAACCUUAUUAAUCAGGAGAGAGAUGCGUUGAACUCAUGAUGAUGGACAUUAAAGUGAAAGCCUCAGGUCUAACUCUUCUUUGGCCUCUUCUUGCGUCGGAAGACCUUCACUUUUCUGGGGAGUAACCGCGACCGUGGCCCAAGAUUUUCUGGCAUGAAACUCUUCCAAGAAGUCUUCAGGUUGAAAACAAGGCUUCCAAACAGCAACCUGCCUUUUAUUCUCUUCCUCCAGUUUUCUUUUCUUGUUUUUACAAUCCAUCUCCUGCUUCGAAGCAUCUGAGCCAUUUGGAAAUCGAUCACGUGCCUCGCGAAUGCUUUUGACG